UCUUGCAGACAUACCACCUUUUGCUGUAUCAAUGCCAGAACUCAAGAAGUAAGCAGUGGCAGGUUGGGUCAGUAUUUGCAUAGGAAACCUCCAAGGAACACCUCAGUGAUGCAGGAA
ensembl:rRNA 5S_rRNA 5S ribosomal RNA